CUCCUAGAAAUAACAGAAAGCGACUACGUAUUAGAUUUCUCUUUGUUCGAUGUUAUUUUUUUUUUUUUUCAGCAAACGGAUGUUUUUAUUUCGUCGAAAAAUUAACUGUGAAAGAUAUACACUGGUUGAGAAAGAUCAAUCGAUACAAUAAUCGAUAUAUAAUUGAAAUAUAUUUUGAAUAGCAUUUAAAUUAUAUCUGCGCGUAUCCCUUGCAAACAAGAGGUAGAAGGCAGAAGCGUGAAACGGAGAUGCAGAUUGUAAGAUGAUAGAACGAGAGAUCGCGUGGAAUCUCGUUUCAGAUAUCUCCCUUUCUCACGCGCUCACUUCUUUCCUCUAUAGCUUUCACGGGAAAUACCAUCUUCUCGUCUUUCUAUAAACGAAAAGAGUUCCGACACUGUGCAUGCUCGGAAAGAGUGUGCUAGAAGGGAGGAAAAAUGAUAUAGAAGAGGAAGGAAAAAAGAAAAAAAAGAAGGAAAAUCUCGAGGGAAAGUUCGAGCUUCCUUAACGGUAUCGGGAUUUUUUUAUGCAUCAGAGAGAUUGAGGGGGGAAGGGGAGGGAGAGAAAUAAUGGGGCGCGAUUUUCUCGACGUUCAAUUGAAUCGUUAAAUUUGAACGCACUAUAGCGUGCUUGUGCACGCAGGUCACGUGUGCCUCCUAUUCUUCUCUGCCAUUAUACCACGGAAUCUUCACCUUUGAUCUCGUCUCUUUUGUUUUCCUCGUCAAGCCAUCCAUCUUUCCUUUCUUUCUCUUCGUUCGUCUUUCCUUCCUUAUUUUUUUUUUUUUUUCCCCCUUUUGAAUUUUGAAACCGCGUUCCAAAAUUCGCGAAAAUUUUUUCCCAUCGGACGAGAGAAUUGCAUGUGGAUACACAGUGAGAGUGAAAAGUGAGUAUAUAUACAUUUUGAAAGACAAGGGAUUUAUUUGAUGAAUCUUACUUUUUGUGUGUAUUGGAAAAUUGAUCGAAAAAGUGCAAACUAUAUAAUAAGCGUUUCUAAUAUAUUAUAUUUUGACGUUUUUACGAUUCAUUUGCUCGUUACAUUCUCGUGCCGCUCGCGUCGCUCGUGUCGCGGUAAUUAUAGCAUCGCGCAUAUUCACCAUGCGGAUACAGUGAAAUCAGGUUAACCUGUUACAUUUCUCGCAAGCCGUUAUCUUCCUUUGCAUGUUCAAGGCCGCGGCAUGCAAUGACCAGUAAAAUCCACUCAAGCGGUUAACGUACUUACAGUUGAUUCCAAAGAUAUUCUCAGCCGUACCAGGAUAUUCUCUGAUAUUUCACGAAUAAUAUUACGUAUCGAUCGGGAAAAAGAUGCUGAAUAUACUUUUGGGAUCAACUGUAUCUACUUAAUUACAACCCUCGAUGCGUUAUACGUAUACGCGCCUAUUCUUUCACUUAUUUUCGAUUUCUUUUACGCGUAAAUUCUAAUAACGAUGAAAUAAAUAUUAUUUUGUUCUUCCAUUUUUCUUUUUAUAUAUUUUCUUCUAACUAAAUAUAGUUUUUCUGGUUUUUCAAUUUACACCGCGAUCCGAAUACGUCUAAAAUAUCUAUCCAAUGAAGAGAAACUUAACCUCACUUUUAUUGCGAAUCAUCGAGUUAUUUAAUUAUCUAUUACUUUCUAUUAUCUAGGACGAUUGUUACGAAGAUUUAUUUAUUUUCUUUUUUUUUUUUUUAGAAAUAUAUAAUAUCUAUAAAAUAGGCAAAAAAUUCUAGAAUAGAUCAAAUAUUAUUAAUGUCAAAAUUGUGAGUCUGUGACAGCAUAACAAAUAUAUUUAUUCACUCCUUUCAUAAGAUUUAAAUCCGUUGGAUUAGCUUUUAUGCGCAUUUCAAAAGUACAAUGAAACAGUUAUACGUAUAAAUAUUAUCAGAUGAAUUACAACAGCAAGCUAUGAGAACUAUGAUCAAGAGAUAAAUCUGAUGAGGAUAAAGCUGAAGACUUAUACACUUAUAAACUUUAUACAUUCAUUUUAUUUCUUUUAUUCGCACCUGUUCGUCGACACUUGUAACGAACGGUAUCCCAUCACGCGUCAUAUGGAAAUCAAACGUGAAAAUACUCGAAGUUUAUCGCAUCCCCGUGUUUUUUUUUCUUUCUUUUUUUUUUUUUUUUUU